AAUACUGGAGGACAGGUGCUGCAUGGCUGUCGUCAGCUCGUGUCGUGAGAUGUUGGGUUAAGUCCCGCAACGAGCGCAACCCUUGCCUUUAGUUGCCAGCAGUUCGGCUGGGCACUCUAAAGGGACUGCCGGUGUUAAACCGGAGGAAGGUGGGGAUGACGUCAAGUCCUCAUGGCCUUUAUGACCAGGGCUACACACGUACUACAAUGGCCGAUACAAAGGGCAGCGACACUGCGAGGUGAAGCCAAUCCCGUAAAAUCGGUCUCAGUCCGGAUUGGAGUCUGCAACUCGACUCCAUGAAGUUGGAAUCGCUAGUAAUCGUGGAUCAGCAUGCCACGGUGAAUACGUUCCCGGGCCUU
rnacentral:rRNA from 1 species